rnacentral:ncRNA from 1 species
AUAAAAUUUUAUUCUAGUUUUAAUUGUAAUUGCUUUAUAAUGGGUUUAAUAUGUAAGUAUUUGCUUGAUUUGGUAUUUAUUUAAAUAAUAAAUACUAUUUUUUAUUCGCAGUUCUUAAUUUUAUAUAUUUAAUUACUUAAGAUAUAUUUAAUUAUAUAAUGAUUAGCAAAAAUUGUGCCAGCAGCUGCGGUUAUACAAUUAAUCAAAGUGAUUAUUAUUAGGAAUUUAUUAUUUUUAAUGAUUUUGUCUUUAAUAUGUAAUUCUUUAGGUGAAAUUUGAGUUUUAUAUUUAUUAGAUUGGUUGGAAAUUAUAAGAAAUUUUUUAUUUUAAACUAGGAUUAGAUACCCUAUUAUUGAAAAUGUAAAUUUUAUUCUUAAUACUAUAAGUUAAGAUCUUUAAAUUGAAAGAAUUUGACGGUAAUUUUAAUCAUUUUAGAGGAACCUGUUCUGUAAUUGAUAAUCCACGAUGAAUUUUACCUUAAUUAUUUAUUUGUAUAUCUCUGUUUGAUUGAAUGUUUUAUUAGAAUUAUUUUCUGUUAUUUUUGUUUGAAAUAUAUGUCAGGUCAAGGUGCAGUUAUAUUAAGGUUUGAAAUGGGUUACAUUUAAUUUUAUAAUUAUUGGAUUAAAUUAUUUAUUUAAUUUAUGAAAUUGGAUUUAAUUGUAAUGUUUAAAAUAUAUUAUUCAUGAUAUAUGUUCUUGAUUAAGUACACAUCGCCCGUCGCUCUCAUUAUAAGAUGAGAUAAGUCGUAACAAAGUAGUCCUAUCGGAAGAUGGGGCUAGAAUUAUA